AUCCAGCGAACUUGGCAGAGAUGCCUUGGUGCCUUCGGGAACGCUGAGACAGGUGCUGCAUGGCUGUCGUCAGCUCGUGUUGUGAAAUGUUGGGUUAAGUCCCGNAACGAGCGCAACCCUUUAUCCUUUGUUGCCAGCGAUUCGGUCGGGAACUCAAAGGAGACUGCCGGUGAUAAACCGGAGGAAGGUGGGGAUGACGUCAAGUCAUCAUGGCCCUUACGAGUAGGGCUACACACGUGCUACAAUGGCGCAUACAAAGAGAAGCGACCUCGCGAGAGCAAGCGGACCUCAUAAAGUGCGUCGUAGUCCGGAUCGGAGUCUGCAACUCGACUCCGUGAAGUCGGAAUCGCUAGUAAUCGUGGAUCAGAAUGCCACGGUGAAUACGUUCCCGGGCCUUGUACACACCGCCCGUCACACCAUGGGAGUGGGUUGCAAAAGAAGUAGGUAGCUUAACCUUCGGGAGGGCGCUUACCACUUUGUGAUUCAUGACUGGGGUGAAGUCGUAACAAGGUAAGCGUAGCGAG
rnacentral:rRNA from 1 species